GAUGAACGCUGACAGAAUGCUUAACACAUGCAAGUCGAUGGGGAAGUGGUGCUUGCACCCUGGUAACCAUGGCGGACGGGUGAGUAACGCGUAAGGAACUUGCCUGCGGGACUGGGAUAACAGCAGGAAACUGCUGAUAAUACCGGAUAAGGUCAUUAAGCUGCAUAGCUUAGUGAUGAAAGGAGACGCCUGCGGAGAGCCUUGCGUCCUAUUAGCUAGUUGGAGGGGUAACGGCCCACCAAGGCGAAGAUAGGUAGCCGGCCUGAGAGGGUGGACGGCCACAAGGGGACUGAGAUACGGCCCUUAAUCCUACGGGAGGCAGCAGUGAGGAAUAGUGGACCAUGGGGGCAACCCUGAUCAAGCAGUUCUGUGUGCACGAUGACGGUUUUCGGAUUGUAAAGUGCUUUCAGCAGGGAAGAAGGAAGUGACGGUACCUGCAGAAGAAGCGACGGCUAAAUACGUG
rnacentral:rRNA from 1 species